UUUCAUAAACUAAAACAACAUACACAAAACCAUAACACAACACAUGCUGGAAUAAAAAUACUUACAAAAAUAACUUCAUUCAUAACAUAUGCAGGAAUAGGCAUAAGUUUAGUUACAAAAAAUAGGAAAUUAAACUAGGGGAAGCCUAAUAUGCCUCAGGCAAACACCAAAACCCUAAAACUGAUGGUCAAAAAGGCAAAAAUUAGAACAUUCAACACAAAGAAAACGAAAACACAUAUAAAAAAUCCAUGAAAACAGAGCAACAACAUAAUACGAAAUAAAAAAUCCAACAAAAAUGGUGGAAACACGAACUAACCAUGAAAAAACAGUACAAAAACUUUGAUUAAACACUAAAACCAUAGUUUACAAUAAGAACGAUAAAUUACAUACAAAAAAAUUAAAAAAAAAACAACAAAGGCGAAGAAUAUACCGACAAUAAACAAAAUCGACUCCAACAACAAAAAUAUUAACAGAUAUUAAAAUAUCGAAACGAGCUUAAAAUAUAAAUUCAUACCUAAAUAUCCAAACAGUUAAAGAGAAACAACACAAAGAGAGACAGGAGACACAGAGAAAAAGGGUGAGAUAAUCAAAAAAUCUGUAAAAAUGAAAUAGUAAGGUUUCAAUAGGUUAAGGGGUAAUUUCGUCCGAUAAUAUCCAUUAAAAGAAGCAACGAGUAAUUAUUAAAUACCACGUAUUAGAGGGGAAAAAUUUAAAAAUAAAAAAAUAUGCAGUCACACCCAUUAGGCCCGCUCCCAAAAAAAAAAAAAGAGUUACUGUAGUGACCAGACAAGUGACAGGCAACACCGUUUUGUGAAUGUUGAUAGUUAAGGGUACCAAAUCCAAUCUGACAGAAACGAAUAGCACUAGUGAUAACCAAAAUUAGGGUUAGGAUGCAGACUGAAGCCCGCGUAGGAUUGGUUGUGGAUGAAAAAGGAAGUGGUCGGAAAUUGCAGCGUCAGCAUUCUCAGAUUGGAACUGUUCCUCAGCUUGUUGCCGGUGGUCUUGCUGGUGCUGUCAGCAAGACAUGCACUACCCCUCUUGCUCGCCUUACUAUUCUCUUUCAGGUCACUUUCAUUGUUCUAAUUCCAAGGCAAACUUGUUUUCGCUGUCUUGUCUUGUCUUAUGCACAUUUUCCUCUAUAACAACUGCAAGGAAUGCACACCAAUGCUGCUACCUUCAAAAAGUCUAGUUUAUGCCAAGAGGCUUCAUAUAUUGUACGCAAAGAAGGAUUUCGCGCAUUUUGGAAGGGCAAUUUGGUCACUAUUGCUCAUCGCCUCCCAUAUUCCUCUAUCAGCUUUUAUGCUUUUGAAAGCUACAAGAAUGUGUGGCAAUUGAUUUUGGGAGUUGAAAGCCAAGGAGAGAAUAUAAGUGCAGACCUUUGCAUAAGACUUGUAGGUGGUGGUUUCGCUGGAAUAACAGUUGCUUCUCUUACAUACCCCUUGGAUCUUGUUAGGACACGUCUUGCAGCUCAGACAAAUGUAAUAUAUUACAGAGGCAUAUGGCAUGCAUUACAAACCAUCAGUAGGGAAGAAGGGAUAGUCGGCCUUUAUAAAGGAAUGGGUGCUACUUUAUUGGGGGUUGGCCCGAACCUGGCAAUCAGCUUUUCUGUUUAUGACACUGUGAGAUCGUACUGGCAGUCUCAUAGACCAGAUGAUUCAACUGUCUUGGUCAGCCUUGCUUGUGGAAGUCUUUCAGGUGUUGCAUCAUCAACAGAGAAGCAGGUUGAGGUGCUGGCUUCUCACUAAGUUUCUAACUGGACUGACUCUUAGAGCCCGAGACCGAGCACUUUUAUCUGGCAUUUGAUUUUAUUGGCUCCACCAUGGUGGAUAUUUGCACGGGAGCCAUAUGUAUUUGCAGUUAUCAAAAUGUGAGAGGCUUCCUCGUUGAGGGUACAGAAGUAGUUGGAGCAUCCCAGUCGGCUUUACGUUAUUCCAUUGAACAGGCAUCAGUGAUUUAAAAGCAAAAAGUGCUAAAAAGCCAUCCUGAGGUGGUUGGUAAAAAAAGAGGAACACAAGCACAUACUGUAGCUGUAGAAGAGCUAGCAGAAUAAAGAAAGGAAUAGGAGAAAGAUCAAAGUGGGGAGGAUGAUGAAGGACAAGAAGAAAAGAAAUCAGGAAGAGAGAAGUGGAACAAUUACAGGACAAGGGAGAAAGAGAAGAAAAAAGCUAAAUAGUGAUGGGAUUUGAAUCGUCAAUAAAGAAGACGAGGACCCUUCCUGGAGCAAAGUGAAAGGCCGUUUAAGACCUAUUUUCUCUCCACCCUUUCUUGUAUUGGAGCAGCAUAGCCCUACUGGGAAGGAAUGUAAAUGUAGUAAUCGCAGAAUUUUAUUCAACACAAGGCUGGAAUCUCUCUCUUAGAAGGAAUGCAAAUGAUUGGGAAGUAGAACGAGUAUGUCUUUUGCUUCAGCUGCUAAGCAACAUAGCUUUGGACUACAAAAAAGUAGAUUCUAUUACAUGGGAGGGGCAUCCCAAAUGUCUCUUUACGGUCAGAAGCUGCAAUCAAGUAACAACAGGGUCUUUGCCUUGGGAAAAAAAUUUGGCUUUGGAAGGCACCUUUGAAGGUCAUUUGCUUCUCUUGGAUUGUGGCUAGAGAGACUUGUCUCACUCGUUCCAACGUUCAAAAGAGGAAAAUUCAGCUUUGUAGUAGGUGCCCCAUGUGUGAAGAGCACUCUGAAGAUGUUGGCCACCUCCUUUUGUAUUGUAUAGUUACUACUCGCUGUGGAGCAUGUUCUUGUCGAUCUUAUGAAUGUCCUGGUCCAUGCCAAAAUCCACUAGGGAGCUAUUGCAAUGUUGGAAGAAAGAAGGGUUGUGCAAGAAAUCACAAGAGACUUGGACUACCAUCCCUCAAGCCAUUUAGUGGACUAUUUGGCUUGAAAGAAAUGAUAUAAAUUUUGAAGGCCGUAGGAGAAAUUGCAUAGCCUUAAACAAAGAUGUCUUAUUUUGCUAGCUUUUUGAUGCAACCUGGUUAUUGUACAGGAUGUUGAUGCAAUUUUAGAUACAAUAGGGGAUCUGCACAAUCUGUAGUUAUGUUUUCUCGCACUGGCUUAGUGCAAGGCAUUUAUAAAAUCUUUGAGUACUUAUUUAAAAAAAAAAAAAAAAAGUCCUACUGCCUUUCCAUCUGUUUCUUCAGAUAGUAAUCUAGACUCCUUUUAUAUUUUUUAAUUAUUUUUCUCAGGUACAACAGAAAUUCAAAUAGAAGCUUACACCUCAUGCCUUUAAAACUUACACAACUGUAGCAAGCACUUCUUUUAGAGUCACAUCGCUUUUCCCUAUUGAGGCACCAUACCUGCACCUCAUGGUGCCUCCCCACUCGAUGGCUAACACUAACUGGCGCAUGUUUUGGCUUCUGAUUUAUUAUGUCUGGUGGAUGGGCAAUCACUUUCAUUGUUUUCAGUUUAGGGAAAAAGGUCAAAAAAACCCCUCUACUUUGUUUUAUUAGCUAAAUAAGCUGAUUUUAGAAGCCUGAUUUUGUUUUAUUAACUAAAUAAGCUUAUUUUAGA